rnacentral:rRNA from 1 species
CUACGGGCGGCACCAGUGGGGAAUAUUGGACAAUGGGGGAAACCCUGAUCCAGCAAUGCCGCGUGGAGGAUGACGCAUUUCGGUGUGUAAACUCCUUUUAUAUGUCAAGAAAAUGACGGUAGCAUAUGAAUAAGCACCGGCUAACUCCGUGCCAGCAGCCGCGGUAAUACGGAGGGUGCAAGCGUUACUCGGAAUCACUGGGCGUAAAGGACGCGUAGGCGGGUUGGAAAGUCAGGUGUGAAAUCCUACAGCUUAACUGUAGAACUGCACUUGAAACUCCUAAUCUAGAGUAUGGGAGGGGGAGAUGGAAUUAGUGGUGUAGGGGUAAAAUCCGUAGAUAUCACUAGGAAUACCUAAAGCGAAGGCGAUCUCCUGGAACAUUACUGACGCUAAGGCGUGAAAGCGUGGGGAGCAAACAGGAUUAGAUACCCGUGUAGUC